rnacentral:tRNA from 2 species
GCGGCUGCGAGGCGUUUUGACGGCUGGAUUGUGAUUCCUGUCGUCGUGGGUUCGAGUCCCAUCAGCCACCCCA